rnacentral:rRNA from 1 species
CAGGCUGCUGCAACUGUUUAUUAAAAACACAGCACUCUGCAAACACGAAAGUGGACGUAUAGGGUGUGAUGCCUGCCCGGUGCUGGAAGGUUAAUUGAUGGGGUUAGCGUAAGCGAAGCUCUUGAUCGAAGCCCCAGUAAACGGCGGCCGUAACUAUAACGGUCCUAAGGUAGCGAAAUUCCUUGUCGGGUAAGUUCCGACCUGCACGAAUGGCAUAAUGAUGGCAGCGCUGUCUCCAGCAGAGACUCAGUGAAAUCGAAAUCGCAGUGAAGAUGCUGUGUACCCGCGGCUAGACGGAAAGACCCCGUGAACCUUUACUACAGCUUUACAUUGAACUUUGACCUAACUUGUGUAGGAUAGGUGGGAGGCUUUGAAGCAGAUACGCCAGUAUUUGUGGAGCCAACCUUGAAAUACCACCCUGGUUAUGUUGGGGUUCUAACUUAGGAUUAACAAAUCCAAGGACAAUGUAUGGUGGGUAGUUUGACUGGGGCGGUCUCCUCCUAAAGAGUAACGGAGGAGUACGAAGGUGCGCUCAGAACGGUCGGAAAUCGUUCAAAGAGUAUAAAGGCAAAAGCGCGCUUAACUGCGAGACCCACAAGUCGAGCAGGUACGAAAGUAGGUCUUAGUGAUCCGGUGGUUCUGUAUGGAAGGGCCAUCGCUCAACGGAUAAAAGGUACUCUGGGGAUAACAGGCUGAUACCGCCCAAGAGUUCAUAUCGACGGCGGUGUUUGGCACCUCGAUGUCGGCUCAUCUCAUCCUGGGGCUGAAGCAGGUCCCAAGGGUAUGGCUGUUCGCCAUUUAAAGAGGUACGCGAGCUGGGUUUAGAACGUCGUGAGACAGUUCGGUCCCUAUCUACCGUGGGCGUUGGAAAUUUGAGAGGAUCUGCUCCUAGUACGAGAGGACCAGAGUGGACGAACCUCUGGUGUUUCGGUUG